AUCCUUGUGUGACUCAUAGAUGUGAUGAUUGGGAAUUCAUGCUAUUAUUGUGUGAGAGGUACUACCCUCAAACCUCAUCAUGGUACUGGCACAUUACCUGUCUCAUG
ensembl:snoRNA